rfam:Marinobacterium sp. ST58-10, complete genome.
GGGCGAAUAGCUCAGUUGGGAGAGCGUCUGCCUUACAAGCAGAGGGUCGGGGGUUCGAACCCCUCUUCGCCCA